rnacentral:lncRNA from 1 species
AUCCCUCCUGGGCACACUGCUUCCUUCUCCCCUAAUACUCAUCACAAAAUCAGGACCCUUGAACUCUGCUCUGCAUUCUCACUCCCACCUCUCAGACACCGACAGUACCAUGUAAGUUUCUAUUUGGCAGUGUCUGCGUGAAGAGUGCCAUGAUGAAAUCUAUUCAAGAGCUGCAGAGCAGAAUGUGGGGUUUAAGUUGCUGCUAGCAGCCACCACGUGAGCAACAGGGUGACGUGGGAGAAAUGGAGGUAAUUGGUUCUUCUCACUCUGAAUCUAUCCAUCACUGCAGGCACAGUAAUUUUUCUAAGCUUCUCUGUAGGGAGAGAGUUGCUGAGUGAGAUCUCCAAGUGUACGUUGUAAUGAAACAGGAGCGCUAAUGAUCAGUUCUUCAUUAUGUUUAUAUCUGGUUUCCAGUACAACAUUGCCCUGAUUCUCAUUUGUGGCUUUUGAUACUACCGUAAUACGCGUAAUUAUCUACAAAUGAACAACAGCAAAGAGUGCAGUCAAGCCAUACAUAAUGCAUGUAUAUGUGUAAGGGAGCAUCUCUUGCUGUUUGUCCCCGCCAGAAUUCAUUUAUUAUAUAUGAAACCAAAACCAAACACCAAAUUUGUAUCCUCUCCAUUUAAGGAGAAUGCAUAUGGAUCAGAUAUUUCAUGUUCUGGCUGUAUCCCUGUACUGCUCCAGUGCAGCACAACUUCCAACAUGGCUCAGACCUGAAUCCAAAUUUUGCUACUUGAGAUCAGGUCCCACUGCAAGGAGCGUGGAGCCUGCUCCAUUUCUGAUCAAGACAAGUGGUCCAGUGGAACCAGGCCACCUCCACACACACAGCUCUGCACACUUACAUCUGCAUUCACUGUGCAUCAGGAAAACCAGCCUGUGAAUGCUUCUCACCGGGCUUAGUUCCACCUUCCUGUUUUUUCUCUGAAUGCCUCGCUCCUAAAUUUGGUAGAGGUAUUCCACCUUCAGACAGGGCUGAGCUGAAAGCUUUGUUUUCUGCCAAGAAGCUUCAGAGGACAACACUUAUCAAAGCAGUUUGCAUGAGUGACACAGCUUCUGAAGGGAGAGAAACACUUCAGGCUGAAAAGUUAUUAGGCAUUAAAAACACAUACUGAAGAAAAGCAUGCUGCCUUGACAAUGGGAGAAUGGGUGGGGAUAGGUCUGGGCCCCCUGACAGAGACCUGUAGGUCUUCUGAUAUCCCACCUCCCCCUCUUGCUCUUUGUCUAUGUAGCUCUCAGGGCUGGUCUCCAGAGAAGUGAGGAUACUUCGUCUUGGUUAUUGCCCCAGAACAUACAGUAAUAUUAUAUAUGUGUGAAUGAGUGUGUAUACAUAUACAUGCGUGUGAUUGUGUACAUAUACACAUCUUAUGAAGCCAAAAGGGAACAUAUGCAGAAUGCCUCCGGGAGCAUGUGGGAAGGGCAGAGUUCCAAGCCGGUUAUUAAUCCACUUGCAG